UACGUAGGGGGCUAGCGUUGUCCGGAAUCAUUGGGCGUAAAGAGCGCGUAGGCGGCCCUGUAAGUCCGCUGUGAAAGUCAAGGGCUCAACCCUUGGAUGCCGGUGGAUACUGCAGGGCUAGAGUCCGGAAGAGGCGAGUGGAAUUCCUGGUGUAGCGGUGAAAUGCGUAGAGAUCGGCAGGAACACCCAAGGGGAAGCCAGCUGGCUGGGCAUUUGCUGACGCUCAUGUGCGACAGCGUGGGGAGCGAACUGG
rnacentral:rRNA from 1 species